rnacentral:lncRNA from 1 species
CACACUUGUGGCACAUGGAGUUUCCCAAGCUAGGGGUUGAAUAAAAGCUACAGCUGCUUGCCUACACCACAGCAAUGCAGGAUCCAAGCCACAUCUGCAACCUACAACACAGCUCACAGCAAAACCAGAUCCUCAACCCACUGAGCAAGGCCAGGGAUCGAACCUGCAACCUCAUGGUCCCUAGUCAGAUUCUUUUCCACUGCGUGACAAUGGUAACUCCAGUACCACAUUUUCUUUAUUCAUUCGUCAGUGGAUAUUUAGGUUGCUUCCAUGCCUUGGCUAUUAUGAAUAGUGCUGUUAUAAACAUAUGGGCACAUGUAUCUUUUCAAAUUAUGGUUUUCUCUGGAUCUAUAACCAGGGGGGUGGGAUUGCAGGAUCAUAUGGCAACUCUAGUUUUUUAAGGAAUCUCCAUACCAUUUUCCAUAAUGGCUGCACCAAUUUACAUUCUCACUAGCAUUAUAAAAGGGUUCUGAGGGUAGGGUUUUUACUGCGAGCUCUCUCCACUCUUCCUCAGUCUUUUAACAACCCCCACCCCUUUCCCUGCUCCUGCAAUGGUGCUGGGUCAUCAGAAAAAAAUACUAGGAUUUCUAUACUCCAUUAUAAUCAGAUUUGGUUAAGGUCUACCCCAGGCUUGUCUGAGGCAAAGUUCUCACAUACUCCGAUAACUAGGUAACCUGACCUUUAUUCCCACCAUUUUCAAGUUAAGGGUACUUUAUUCUACUCUCCAUCAUGUGAUACAUCCGGCUCAAAUCUUGGUCUAGUCUUCACUAUAGGCUGUGUUCCAUUGUAGCCAUAUAGGAUAUCCUCGCGUACAUAUAUAUUAAAGAAUUCACACCAAUUAAAAUCUGGCCCAUACCUGUGAUUCAGGGUACCUUAGGAUGUCAAUGCAAACCUGAUGAGAAAUGCUUGGUAUCAAGAAUGUCAUCUUAUGUCACGAGAUCUUGAACUUAUCACCUCUCCAUACCUGAGUUUUCUUCUCUUUAAAAUGAAGAGUUGGUGUCCUUCUCAAAAUUUUAAUUGCUAUUCAUUCCCCUUCCAAUGAGCCCCUUCCACUCCAGGCACACUGCUCCCACGCCAGUCUCAAUAACAUUAGCUCCUGUCUUUGUGCUGUCAUGAGUCUCUUCUCUGGCUUCUCAACCUCCCCUGCUCCCCCUCUGCCUGCUCCCCAAGUCACCCUGGAAAUAACAUUCAGACAUGGAUAAAAACAUAAGCUCCAUGGGGAUCCAGAGUCUUGUCUGUUUAAUUCACUGCUGUGUCUCCAAUGUCCAUAGAAAUGUUUAGUGCCUUAUGAGUGCUUAUGCUAGUUACUCUUCUUGGCUCGGCUAGAGUGUCCAGUUGCUUGCUCAAACAUGUCUGGCUGCGGAGUUGUUUGGUUUUGCUUUCUUUUUAGAGUUAUGCUUAAAUCAGUAGACUUUGAGUAAAGCAGUUAACCCUCCAUUAUAUGGGUGGGUCUCCUCCAAUCAGUUUAAGGCCUUAAAAAGACUGAGGUCCCUGCCAAAGGAAAGGAAUUCUGCCUCCAGGUUGCCUCCAGACUCAAGACUUCAACUCCAACUUUUGCUGGAACUUCUAACCUACUGUCCAGCAUGGCAAGUUUCAGACAGGGAAGCCCCAAUUGUGUAAGUCAGUUCUUUCAAACUCAGUCAGUCUUGAGAUAGAAAUAGAUAAGUAGAUGGGUGGAUGGAUGAAUGGAUGGAUGGAUAGCUAGAUAGGUAGGUAGAUAGGUAGAUAGAUGAUAGAUCAUCUAUCACAAAUAGAUCACAUCCUAUUGGUUCCGUUUCUCUGGAGAAUCCAAACUUCUUAGUAAAGAUUUAUCAAAUCUUAUAAAUGCCUUUUCCUAUACAAUAAAACACUAUUUUUUGCUAAAAAAAAAAAAACUUUCAGAAUAUAUUAGACUCUGAAAAUUCUUAAAGAGGAAAAGACCCUUUGUCUAACCCGAGAAUUUCUUAGGCGUCUUAGACCACAGGACCCCUUUAACCUAUUAAGUGUGCUACCAGCCCCAGGGGCAAUGGUGAUCAUUGAAAGCCAUGGGAAAAAGCCUGACACUAGCUUCAAACCCUGAUAAGGACAGCAAGGCCUUUACUGUCAGCCUUUCCAACCUCUUUUUCUAUCUCACCAUCCAUCAUCUCUCUUGCUCUACUCUCCCCAAAGUACCCCAUACCCCCAGGCUGGCAUCCCUGAAUAGUACUUGGCUAUUUCCCACAUCUGGACCUUGCUCUUCCUUCUGCCUUGAAAAGCCCUUUCCCAGCCCUCCACCUUCAGCUACUUCUACGUUUAUAGUUCUGUCUCUUCCCAAGGAUACCUAUUCAUCUCUUAAGACCCAGUUCAGAUGUCUCUUGCUCCAAGAAGCCUUCCUAGGGGGCCCAGCCCCAGCCCUCUCCCCCUGCCAGAGUGAGCCCUCCAUCUUGUGCUUGUGAAGCUAAUAGAUGUUCCUCUGCUAGCAAACCUGUCCAGCUGCAUUGCAGUUAUUUGCCUGUAUACCUGUCUCCUGGACCAGUCUAAGAGAUCAUAUGGGGCAGGAAUUGGCUUAUUCAUCAUGGUAAUACCUGUAAUUACAAUUCUGUUAAAUUGAAUGAAUAAAUGAAUGAACAUUUAGUUCAGAAACUUCCAGUUUUUAGAAAACUCAACAGAGCAUUUUAAACUUCCCUGGCUGUUGGCUUAUUCAUCAUGGUAAUACCUGUGAUUACAAUUCUGUUAAAUUGAACGAAUAAAUGAAUGAACAUGUAGUUCAAAAACUUCCAGUUUUUAGAAGACUCAACAGAGCAUUUUAAACUUCCCUGGUUGUUAAGACCCUCCAUAAAAUAGCUCACCUACCCAUCCAGACUUCCUCCUUACUGCUGCCCAGCCAGCAGUGUCUACUCCCAUCCUCACCCCAAAGGUAAUACCUGAUCACUCUUACUGCCAUGCAUUUGUUAGCAGAAUUCUCUGGAAGGAGAACACACUCCUGUCUUUUUUUCGUAUUUAUCCAAUCACAGGGGAUUGCUCAUGGAGAUCCUACAGAAUAAAAAGUUGAGUACUUUGCAGAACGUAUAAAAGGUCCAACUCUGUUAGGGAGACUCAUUGGAAGGGGGCAUCUGUGGACUGGGUCCCCUUGGUGACAAAUUGCAAGAUAGUCUGAGGGCCCUGGGAGAACAGCCUUCCACUGCCCAGCCCCGCCCUCUGGUUCUCCUAGAACUGCAGCCAGUGUCUGCAGAUACCUGCCUCUGUAGCCCCAGGGAAGCUAUCUCUUAUCCCACAAUCUGGUAAAGUUCUUCAGAGCCUCUUUUGUGUCAACAAGUUCCUUUCUACAAGUUAGAAGAGUAAAUAAGCCAUUUGCCUUUUACACCUUAAUGUGAGUUAUCAUCUUUGUUGCCUUACUCUCAACAUUAAAGUGAGGGGAGGGAAUUUCUGGAGGGGGUUCCUCAAGCUAUUUGCUAUUCUGUGACAGCCUCCUAAAGAGAGGUUGGAACCAGCCUUUCCAAGUAAAUGUGUACAAUUAAUUUUACUUAAAACUUUCUUGCUGGUUUAGUGGUACAGGUAGGAGCCCUUCGGCCUCUAAACACACCCUUCCGGGAGGAGCCCCCAUUGGCUGCUAUAGGAUGAUUGACAGUAUAACUGGGGGUGGGCUCUGCCGAGAGAGUCCCUGGGUCCUAGCCUUGCCUCUGCCAUGUACUAGCUGUGUGAUCUCAGGCAAAGCAGCAUAAACUCGGUUUCCUUAUUUAUAAAAUGGGGGUUAUAAUAACUACACUUGUUUCACAGAGUUGUGAGGCUUCAAUGAAUAAAUAAAGUGAUUAGAAAAGACACUCACCUGUGGUGAGCAUUAUGCUUCUUAGCAUGUAUUCCCUUUGUCCUCCCCUUAGGCACCAGACACCUAGAAGACUCCCUGUCAGUGUUAGCGAAGAGGAAGAAAGCAUUUUGGAACAAUGAAAGGGACGCUUUUGGAGAGAUGUCCUGGGUGUGAUCCGUUCACUCAUGUGAACACAUACCGACAAGGCUAGCCAGACAUCCUCCUAUCCUCAGGGGUUCUCAAGUCUGGAGGAGACAAGUAUACAAACAGAUCACAGAUGAGGCAAAGCAUAUGAAGGGACUGAGAUUUAAAAGAAAAGGGAACGCGGGAGAGAGCAGCUUCAUGUAGGGGCCUCAGAGAGGAGGUGAAUUCCAGCUGAGAAUUCAAGGAUGAGUACAAACUGGUGCAAGUGUGGAAGAGGUAGUGAGAAGGAGAAGAGACAGACGGCGUACGCGCACACACGCGCGCGCACGCACACACACACACACACACAUGCACACACACACCAGUGCUGUUUUCACAUCUCUAACUUGGGCUGGGGGUGGGCCCUCUCUUCUGCCUGAGAUCAGAUGAAAGGUGCUCCUUUCUUAGGAGCCCAAGGAGAAGGGGUCGCAAACCCCAAAAGCCCACUCUCCAGCCUGCCCUGAGGAGCUGAGUUGAGGUUAUUGAAUCUUCUCCCUCUGAUUCAGGGACAACCAUUUGCCUACCACUGAGGGCCCCAGCUCCAGGACAGUCAGUCCACUUUCUUCCCUGGCUCCUCCUGCUUCCUCCCUGCAGAUGUUUUCCUGAUGCUCCGAGAUGGAAAGAGAAGCCCUUCUUCUCUCCCUCCCUCCCUCUCUCACCUGCCUGGAGAGCUGGCGCCAGAGGGAACCCGCAGAGCCUGGAAAGGUCUCUCUAGGACAAAAGCACGAAGACACCAGGGAAUGUACUUCUGACCAUUAGGGGCCUCUGGCAGGGAACUCUGUCUGCAGCUCGUCAACCAGCCUUUUGUUACCUGCUGCUGGGGGAUUAUUGACCCAAUUGGCUAUUCUGAGAGGUUAUCGGUUUAACAUUCCUACCUGGCCUCAGGGGCUGUGCUUUUCUGUGUUUCAUUCCUACCACAAGACGUGAGAUUUGCAUGUGUGGAUCCAUUAGGGGACAGUGUUUAUUUCUUCCAUUUAUGUGGGAUCUUCACUCUGAAAAGCUAAAUCCAGGCUUGCAAAUCAUGCCAGUAGGUCACUGUCGUUGUCCAGACAACAAAGCCUAUUGCUCUUGCCCUGAAAAGGAAGAAGAAUUUUGAGAGUAGGUCCAUCCAGGGCUACUGGCAACCAACCUGCUUCCUACCUACUCCACCCCCGACAAUUAUUCACUGAUGGAAAUACUCACAUGUCAGGUUUUUCACUGAACUGUGAUAGGUAUAUAGUUGCACGACUGUUUGCAUCCCUUCCAGGAGUCAUGGCUUUCUAUCUGCACCCCCUCUACUGAAUCACAGACAGUAAAUAAACAAGAUGCCCUGGGGCUUCAGGUCACUCCCCCUUUGGCGGAGGAGGUGGUGGCUGCUGUGAAGACCUGGGUCCACAGCCAGUGGCAAGGUGACAGGAACAGAUGUUCCUGGAGACAUACUGGCAAGGUCCAUCCAAAUCCCCAGAAAGAGGAGUUCCCAUCAUGGUGCAGCGGAAACGAAUCUGACUAGGAACCAUGAGGUUGCGGGUUUGAUCCCUGGCCUCGCUCAGUGGGCUAAGGACCUGGCGUUGCCAUGAGCUAUGGUGUAGGUCGCAGACAUGGCUCAGAUCCUGCGUUGCUGUGGAUCCAGUUCAACUCCUAGCCUAGGAAUCUCUAUAUGCCAUGAGUAUCACCCUAAAAAGAAAAAAAAAAAAAAAAAAAAAAAAAAAAAGCUCAAAUCCCCAGAAAGAAAUUCAAACAUCAGAGGACCCCUGCAUCAUAAUCCUUCCCUCUUCCCUGUUUUGCUGUUUGCUCCCCUAUUUUUGAACCAGUUUGUCUUGGCAUUGGCUCCUCCUAAAAGCGCGAGCUGUGGUAACCACCCUUCCUCCCCAGGGAUCCUGAGAUGCCAAGACCAUGUGACUGCAGAAAGAGUCUGGGCGCAGAGCAGUCAUAUUCUAGGUUGUUUUUAAAGCAGGGGGAUGGCCAGAAGGUCCUCCCAGGGCAGGAGUGGGUAGGUGGUGCUGGGAACAAGCUUUGGAGGCCGAGAAAUCUGUUUAUCUUCACACUCCCGAGAGGCAAUCACUCUUCCUGUGACAGCGGAGGGUACUGUAGCAAGCACAUUCCAGGAGCAGGGAUGUGUGGGCUCCCUGGCCAAGUGGCCUUCUCCUAAUCAGCAGUGGGUCUCCAUGAGAUAAAAUGGGGCGAGAGCAGCAGGAAGCCUGUUCCAU